CCUACGGGAGGCAGCAGUGGGGAAUAUUGCGCAAUGGACGAAAGUCUGACGCAGCGACACCGCGUGAGGGAUGAAGGUUUUCGGAUCGUAAACCUCUGUCAGGCGGGAAGAAAGCGCAUGGCGCCAAUCAGCCAUGCGUUGACGGUACCUCCAAAGGAAGCGCCGGCUAACUCCGUGCCAGCAGCCGGGGUAAUACGGUGGGCGCGAGCGGUAAUCGGAAUUACUGGGCGUAAAGGGCGGGUUGGCUGUAGUGUAAGUUGGGGGGGAAAUCCGACGGCCCAACCGUGGAACAGCCCUUGAUACUGCGCGACUUGAGUACGAGAGAGGGUGGCGGAAUGCCAGGUGUAGGAGUGAAAUGCGUAGAUAUCGGGAGGAACAUCAGUGGCGAAGGCGGCCACCUGGACCGGUAUUGACGCUGAGGCGCGAAAGCGUGGGGAGCAAACAGGAUUAGAUACCCUUGUAGUC
rnacentral:rRNA from 1 species